UUUGAAACUCUAAUUCAUAAAAUAAUAUUAAAAAAAAAAAACAGAAAUCUGAUGUAUUCUGCCAAGAAGACAGUCAUGUUGCUGCACUUCAACCCCAACGUGUCGACGAAGUCCGCUCAAAUCAGGUACACCCAAAAAAUGAAAAAGAUGAUGAGAGAUUUGGGAACUUAUCUGACAAAUGAUCAAAGCUUGAAUAGCAUAAAAAGUGGCGGCAACAACAACCUCCCUCUUUCUAAGAUUGCUUGCUCAAGUGAGCAUCUCAGAUUCAGAAACACCAUGGCAUGUACUGACCUGAUGCAAACUGCAACUGGUUGGAAUACUCAUUUGAGCAAGAAACUUUAAAAAGGGGAACUUUCAUCUCUUGUGUCUUGGACCUUCUUCCUCAACAACCCCCCCCACCAAAAAAAAAAAAAAAACUCUGAGCGAAUCUAGCAAUACUGCACAUAUAACAAUUCCAUAUCCCAUAGUUCCUUGAUAUAUAUAAUAACUAGGAAGUGCAGGUUGCACAAAAGCCAAAGCUCGAAGGGCCACCAAACUAAAGCUGAAGUACCUCCUUUCUGGUGUAACUGGAAGCAUGUCCUAUGGGGAUUACAAUUUGAGCCGAGGGCCAAAAGGCUGGACUAGCCUAAAUGACUUUAGAAACCUCAGGUUUUAAACUUGAAGCAUUAGUUAAUUAGGGUAUUUUAGGUAAUCAAAAGGGCAUUGUUAAUUAAUAAUCGGAAAUGAUGAAAGAACAGAAUAGUGGGUUAUGAAAGGUUGACAUUUGACAGUCAGUUUAAAGAGUCUAAAAACUGAAAGGAAUUGUAGGUAUUGAUGGAAUGGCAGCUAAAAGUUGGUUCAAGCCCAACAACCAAAAAAUGGAAUGGAAGUCAAUAAAGCAUUAUCGUUGAUUAGGUUAAUAGAUUGCGGGUACAGCACUCCGAACGCUUCCCACUCUUCAUCCCUACAUAAAGACAAAAGCCUGUUUCACCGCAUCCAAUUGUUUAUACAAUAGCGUCUAAACUUUAACUCUGAUGUGUUCUUCAAUAACUCACAUUGCUUAUACAUGUGGGAAAAUAGAAAGAAAUUAGUAUCUAUUGGUAACA